ensembl:lncRNA
GCUGCCAGGACUGUGUCCCCUGGGAGGCAGGGCCUUAUUCGCUGGAUCUGCAGUGAUCGGUGGUCUCAGGCAGGCUGCUCUCUGGUCCAAAGCAUUGCAGUUGGUGGCCACACCCAGGGCUGUGGUUCCUGCCAGGCUAGAUCCACCUGAGAAGAGGACCCUCAAUUGAGAAUGUGCCUCCCUCUUACUGGCACACAGGUAAACCUUUCUGGAAACGCCAGAUAUUGUCCAGAGAUGUGUUUCCAUGGCAAUCCUCAUCUAGCCAAGUUGGCAAUGAGGAUGAAUAAUCAACGAGCAUCAACUUUCAACUGAACUCUGGUGUCUCUCUGCCUUAAAUAUGUCUCUUGGAAACUGCUGAAUUAUAUUAAAAAAAAAAAAGCUGAUGUUCGGACUUCACUGCGGUGGUAAAUGGCAGCGCGCUCUGCUGAAGAUCCCAACAGGAAUUGGACUCCAGUCAGUCCUUCACAGACCCAGCUCAAAUCUUCUGAGUGUUCUCGUGCACUCCUUGUCAGGCUGCCACCAUGGCCUUCAAAGCACAUCCCAGCCAAGUCUAGGUGCUGCUCACACUCAGGAAGACCACUCCGCAGACACCUACUCAUUCGGGCGGAGCACAGAGGAGGGGCUAACCCCAGGAUGCUCACUGGCAGAGAAGACUUUUUGCUGAGAUUGUCUUGGCAUCCAAUGGAUCUAUAGCCAUGGCCAUCCAGGAGCCCUGGGGCACCUGUGGUAGGGUCAAGUGUGAGAUGGAGCACAGAAGUGUGAUGCUGGUUGUUGGAGUGGUACCUAGGCACUGAUGAAUGUUCCUCUACCCCAACAGCAAGACACAGCUUGCUCUCAAAUAUCAAUGACGGUAGGUUGAUGGUACAUGAUUCUCUUGGGAGGACAACAGCCACACACUAGGGAGGGUACAGUGGGGAAGGAAGAGUCUCGAGAGUCCCAAGUGAGUGUUUGUGGUAGUUUGAAUAAGAAUCCCCACCACCACCUCUAGGCUCAUAAAUUUGAACGCAUAGGGAGUGGCACUGUUUGAAAGGAUUGGGAGGUGUGGCCUUGUUGGAGGAAGUAGUCACUGGGAG